AUUGAACGCUGGCGGCAGGCUUAACACAUGCAAGUCGAGCGGAGUGAUGGUGCUUGCACUAUUACUUAGCGGCGGACGGGUGAGUAAUGCUUAGGAAUCUGCCAUUUAGUGGGGGACAACAUUCCGAAAGGAAUGCUAAUACCGCAUACGUCCUACGGGAGAAAGCAGGGGAUCUUCGGACCUUGCGCUAAAUGAUGAGCCUAAGUCGGAUUAGCUAGUUGGUGGGGUAAAGGCCUACCAAGGCGACGAUCUGUAGCGGGUCUGAGAGGAUGAUCCGCCACACUGGGACUGAGACACGGCCCAGACUCCUACGGGAGGCGGCAGUGGGGAAUAUUGGACAAUGGGCGGAAGCCUGAUCCAGCCAUGCCGCGUGUGUGAAGAAGGCCUUUUGGUUGUAAAGCACUUUAAGCGAGGAGGAGGCUCUCCUAGUUAAUACCUAGGAAGAGUGGACGUUACUCGCAGAAUAAGCACCGGCUAACUCUGUGCCAGCCGCCGCGGUAAUAC
rnacentral:rRNA from 1 species